rnacentral:misc_RNA from 1 species
AAGGAUCAUUAACGAGUUUUGAAAUGGGUUGUUGCUGGCCUUCCGAGGCAUGUGCACGCCCUGCUCAUCCACUCUACACCUGUGCACUUACUGUAGGUUGGCGUGGGUUUCUAGCCUCCGGGCUGGGAGCAUUCUGCCGGCCUAUGUACACUACAAACUCUAAAGUAUCAGAAUGUAAACGCGUCUAACGCAUCUUA